rnacentral:rRNA from 1 species
GAUGAACGCUGGCGGCGUGCCUAACACAUGCAAGUCGAACGGACAGGCCCUGCUUUUAGUGUACUCGUGUUGCCAACGGGUGGGUGACUCGUAGGUGGUCAGCCCACUUCUUUGAGUUAGAUCAGGUAGACUAGGCCUAAUACAGACCAUGUCAUUUUUUUAGACGCGAGGGUGGAAAGCUUUUGCGGUAUGGGAUGCGCUCGCGGCCUAUCAGCUUGCUGGUGGGGUAAUGGCCUACCAAGGCGUCGACGGGUAGCCGGCCUGCGAGGGUGUACGGCCACAUUGGGACUGAGAUACGGCCCAGACGCCUACGGGAGGCAGCAGUGGGGAAUAUUGCACAAUGGGGGCAAGCCUGAUGCAGCGACGCCGCGUGGGGGAUGACGGCCUUCGGGUUGUAAACUCCUUUCGCAACCGACGAAGCCUUUUGGUGACGGUAGGUUGAGAAGAAGCACCGGCUAACUACGUG